AUGAAGUCUAUGGAAGAAAGAAAAAUGUUGAUGACGGAAUAUUAAGUGGAAAAGGCAAGAUGUUAAAAAAAAAAAAAAAAAAAGUGUAUGUGGUGAAGAAUGGCAAUUAGGUUUAAAAAAUGAACGCUCAUUUAAAAAAAUUAGAUGUCCAUUUUAAAAAAGUGUGCUCAUAAACAGGAAUUUGAAGGGAAGAAAUAAAGAUGGGUGACAUGUCGAAUGAUGGGUGAUCUCCUGCUCUAGGUCAUGUGCUAUCCACACCAUUUACAUUAGGAUCACAAGGGAGCCCUUGGCCCAUCUGCCCCAGAGGCCCAGCCUCCGUCCUCCGCCCUCUGGAGGCCAAGCUUCCUGAGGAGGGAGUUGGGAGUUGUACAGAAAUCCAAGGAGACUUGGAUAGCUCCUGGUGUCACCAGGGGAAGGAUUUGUGCAAGGGGUGCAUGCAAAGGUCAAAGUCAACAGACAAAAUUUGUCUUUUUUUAAAAAAGUGAGAAGAAGAAACACACACUUGAGAUAAGCCCUGAUCAGAGAGGAGUGCUGAGAUCCCAUCUUGGACCUCAUGGAUCGGGCAUGGACAGAACCGGAUGGGGGCCCAUGUGGAAAUUCCACCCCCGGCUCUACAGCCCUCGGAACCCUGUCCUGAAAUUCAGCGUCUCAGAACUGGAGACCCUUAGAAUGCUGGAUCCCAAACACUUAAGAGCUCUGACCCGAUGACCCUCAGGCCCUCAAUAUUCCUAAACAGACAGAACUCAUCCAAUCCCAACCCACCCUCCCCCCUGGGCAUUCUCCCACCAGCCCAUUUCCAUCCAUGUGACCCCUCGACAGCCCCUCGGACCUGGGGAGAAGGCUCCCCGAGAGGUUUGCUCUUGUCCCUAUUUCCUCUGUGCACAUGGCCGUGGCCCCCCACUUCUCCCCAAUAUUUUCUAAGUCUUCUUGACCCUCAGCUGACUUUUAAAACCACACAAGGUUUCUUCAGAAAGACUCUCCCAGGCUCUCCCUGCCCCAAGCCCCUCCCACCCCCACUCUGGUCCACACGAUGACACCUGGGCUGUUUGGGGGGCUCUCUGGAGACCCUCUCUGAGCAGGUGUGUUCAGGGUUAAUAAGUGUGCAGAGCCCUGAAGCCCCAGCGCCACCUCAGGCCCACGAGGCCCUGCUCACGUGGCCCAGACACGUGGCACUGGAGGCAGGGAAGGGGGGCUCCUGACACGUGAUUCCGUGUCCUCCAUCUUCUAGAUGCCGUCUGCAUCCAUUCAGGGCCCGCCUUCUAAGCAUGGAGGCUGCCCCCGGUCCCCCUCCCUCCCCCCCCUCCCCCCCAUCCUGUCCGCGAACCCUGCAGCUUUGAUUCCUGCGCCUCCAGCUCCCUGCCCUCACAGCGCACCUGCAUCAUCACUGGCCUGGAGUGGAGCUACGCCCCGCCCCAAGCCUGUGGCCGGCCACUCCCUGUCCCCACCUGGGGUCCAAAGCUGCUCCGAGUGGAGUGUAACCCCCCUGCCACGAACCAUCCCCUCACCUCCCGCCCACCAGGCGAAACACUAGCCCCAGCUGCACCGGACGCCCCUGGGCGCCCCGCUCUCCCAGCCUCGAAUCCUGGGUCCCGCCAAGCGGGCUCCUCCUGCUCAGGGCACUCGUUAGGAAUCCAGUUUUUUUUUUUAAUGUCCCAGAUAGGAAUCGAGAAGUCCAGAGGGACUCUGGUCCUCAUUUUUAGAGACAAACACAGGCACACAACACACAAGUGCACAAAUCCUGUCCGGUACAGAGAAAGGAGACUGCACAGAACCAGGGCGUCCCUGGGGUCGGAAGCGCCAGUACAAACAGCCCCCAACCCCGGCGGGGGGGCGGGGGGGUGUGCGGGGGAAGGCAGGUCAGGAGGGAGAGGACAAGUUCAACACACACAGUGCAAACGCGCCUUCCGCCGAAAUACAGAGAGUACAUCGGAAAACAGUCGAGAAGACAGCAAGGCCUUGAAACGGCUCUGGGGAGGCCAGGGCGAGGGGGCCAGGAUCCUGGGACCACUUCUGCAAACCCCGGGCUGAGAGGCACCUGCCCCGGGACCCCCUGACUUGAGAAGGGAAGGCAGCCCACCCCGUAGAAGACCCUGGGGGCUUGGAGGGCUCCCGGGCACAUUUCGGAAAGUUGCGGGAACACGAUUUCUGGUGAUCUGGCCCCUACUGGGCCCUUCCCAAGCCACCUGCACAGGCCCUGGAUGUGAGUGGCGCCCCUCCCAGGACAGCGCAGCAGGCGGGGCCCACACAGCCCCAGGGCCUCCUGCUCCCUGACCCUCUGCUGCCCCCUGGCGGGAAAAGCCUCCCUCGCAGGUGACCCACGCCCAGUUCCCACAACCUUCGGCAGGGCCCGGGGCCUGAGCCCUUCCGCCUCUCCAGGGCUCUAGACGGGGCACUGCCAACACGCAGGACAGCAUUUGCCCCACGAUCCAUCCAAGCGGGCAGCGGAUGCCAUUCCGAGUUUUACCGAUGGGAAACUGAGAAUGAGAGCAAUGAAGUGAGAUGGCCCCCACAGCCAGGGUGUGACAGUGGCGCUCCAAGGCAAGGGUCCUCCUGGGCCACCUCCUCCCCGCCAAGAAAGUGCAGGUAACAAGCACACAACAUGCCAAGAGCCUCCCCUCCCUGGUACCCACUCCCUUCAGCUGGCGGGAACCCAGGGACCCCAAACUGGAAGAGUCCUCCCUCCCUCUCUGCCUACUAUCUCUUCCUUCCUUUUUCCUUCUUUCCCUCCUUCCCUCCUUCCUUCCUUCCUCUCUCCCUCACUUCCUUCCUGUCAUUCAUCCAUUUCUUCCAGUCACUCAUUCGUUCAUUCAUUUAGAUUUGACGCCUUUAUUUACCGACUUCAAUAGCAUGACUUUCAAUUAAUCAUAGCCCCUCGUUCAUGAAGCUCUCCCUUCUCCUAUUUAUUCGUUUAUACAUUAUUUUUAUUCCCUUAUUCCUUUCUUCGUAUUUUCCCUCUCUCUCACUCUUCCGUCCGUUCCUUCAUUCUUAACAAACUCAGGUGCACAGAAGGAUGACGAAUCAGGCUCCCCGCGUGCGACAUCCUACUGUCCCUGUCCAGGCAGCACCACCUCUCAUUCAUUCACUCAUCAUUCAUUGACGCACUAAGUGCAUUUGCCCUUCCUUUCUUUCUUAUUUUGGGUAUUCUUUUACUUAUCAGUCUCCUGGGAAAUAAUUGUAUUAGUCAAAACUCCAUGUGCAAAAUAACCAUCAUUGGCCCAUGUGUUUAUUUGCCUUUGCUAUCUUUCUUCCCUGCCUUUAGUCGCCUUUUAACACUUUGCUAUUUAUUCUUUAUUUAUGGACCUCAAUUGCAUAUAUUUUAUUACACAAAGAUGAUAAAGGCUGGAAGAUGCAGCCUUGUCUUGGGUCGGGUAUUUCCUCUAUUGUUCAUUACUCUUGGAAAGGUGUGAUGUAUUUAUCUAUUUAAGGAGUACGUAUGUAAACUAAUUAUAAUCCCUGUUAAGACACCUCUCUUAACUAACCAUUUAUCACCUUGGUUGUGGGUUUAUCAUCCUUCCUUUCUCCUUUUUUCACUUCUUAUUUUUUUAGUCUCUCCAUCCUCCCUUGCCCUAGAAAAGGGAUUGGAUGAUCUCAUCCAUCAUUAGGAUUGAUGACCUCAUCCCUAAUCCUAACAAAUCCUUCUCCCAGACACACCCACGUCUCUCGUUAGCUUUUAUUAGUCCCUCCCCCACCCCGCCUUUCUCUUUCACUUAGUUUCACUUUGCCUUCCCUCACCUCUUUCUUCGACUUCCUGAUGGUUUGGUUUUUUUUUUUUUCUUGCAUCUUUUCACUCUAGGAACCUCAGGUGUCCAGAGUGAGAUGAGUGACGAUCCCAUGGGCGACACGCUCCUGGCCGUUCCAGGCAUUUCCAUUUCUAAAUUCAGUUGUUCAUGGGUCCAUUCAUUCUUUCUGUCACUCUUUUAUUUCAAUAUUUAUCUUUUUAUUAUGGACCUCAGGUGCACAGAAUUGGAUUAACCAUAAUCUGUGGUUCCCGGAGCCUUCCAGCACCGGUCCAUGUGGGGCCUCGCUUUUGUUUGUUAAUUCCUCAUACUGGUGGAUUUGGUUGAGGAUUUAUUUAAACUAUCUCAAGAGCCCAGUUUUGAAUCAGUCAUAAUUCCUGGCUCGCGGUGCCUUCUCGUUUUUUUGUUCUAACAUGGCCCUCUCUCUCGUAGAUUUAUGUACGUAUUGAUUUAUUCCUUCAAUAUGUUUUUAUUGCUAAUAUCCAUCCUGUCAUAAUUGUCUACGCCCCUCCUUCACCGCUCUCUUUUUGCAUUCUUUUAUUCUCGUGAGCCUCGGGUGCAGACGUGAAUUAAUCAAAUCAUCUUUCUCAUUCAUUUGUUCACACAGCCAUCCCUCUACUUAUUCUUUCUUUACGAUGAACCUCGGCUCUUACUAGUGAUUGUAUUUAAUGAAUAAUAUUUGUUUAUUAUAUGUAAGUACUUAUCCAGGAAGUGCCUCUUCUUCCAUAGGUCUAUUUCUUUUCUUUUCCUACAUCUUUCUUUCUCCCAGUCCCUCCUACAAUUUUUCAAACUUUUUCUCACCAUUCUCAUGGAAUGUGUGAAUUUAUUCCUUCAGGCAUUUACUUAUGCGAUUGUUUUUAUUAUUUAUCAACUUCGGGGCCAGAGAUUUGAAUUUCAUGUGGAUGGUCUGUGCUAAACAGUCCCUUCUCACAGACUUCACUGUAUGACUUAUUUAUUACCUUCUUUACUCCUUUUUUUAAAUUGUUUUAUUUUUUUCUCCAAUCUCAAUUGUUUUUUUCUACCAGUCUUUCAGCCUUUUUUUUUUUUUUUACUGCCUUUCCUUCUCUUGGAGCUCAGGCACCAGGGACUGGAUGAAUCCUAACACCCCCUGCAAGACCAGCCUCCUUGGUCACUGAAAAUCUUUUUUCUCAUUCACUCUUUCAUUCAUGCAUUCAUGCAUCCAUUCAGGUUUUCUUUCUUUUUGAUGAUUGUUUUUACACUUCUAGCUGGCAGGGCACCUAAUUGGAUACAUGAUAAUCUACAAGCAGGGGCCCUCCCCUCCCUGGCCUCACUGAGGUCCUCCCUUAUGUAUUUAGGCUUUGCACU